CAGCAGCCGCGGGAAUACGUAGGGUGCGAGCGUUAAUCGGAAUUACUGGGCGUAAAGCGUGCGCAGGCGGUUGUGUAAGACAGGUGUGAAAUCCCCGGGCUUAACCUGGGAACUGCGCUUGUGACUGCACAGCUAGAGUAUGGCAGAGGGGGGUGGAAUUCCACGUGUAGCAGUGAAAUGCGUAGAGAUGUGGAGGAACACCGAUGGCGAAGGCAGCCCCCUGGGCCAAUACUGACGCUCAUGCACGAAAGCGUGGAGAGCAAACAGGAUUAGAUACCCCCGUAGUCCCUGUCUCUUAUAA
rnacentral:rRNA from 1 species